rnacentral:rRNA from 1 species
AUUGAACGCUGGCGGCAUGCUUUACACAUGCAAGUCGAACGGUAACAGGGUGCUUGCACCGCUGACGAGUGGCGAAAGGGUGAGUAAUGCGUCGGAACGUGACGAGCAGUGGGGGAUAACGCAGCGAAAGUUGUGCUAAUACCGCAUACGUACUGAGGUAGAAAGUGGGGGACCUUCGGGCCUCACGCUAUUCGAGCGGCCGACGUCUGAUUAGCUAGUAGGUGAGGUAAAGGCUCACCUAGGCGACGAUCAGUAGCGGGUCUGAGAGGAUGAUCCGCCACACUGGGACUGAGACACGGCCCAGACUCCUACGGGAGGCAGCAGUGGGGAAUUUUGGACAAUGGGCGAAAGCCUGAUCCAGCCAUGCCGCGUGUCUGAAGAAGGCCUUCGGGUUGUAAAGGACUUUUGUCAGGGAGGAAAUCCCUAGUGCUAAUAACACUGGGGGAUGACAGUACCUGAAGAAUAAGCACCGGCUAACUACGUGCCAGCCGCCGCAGUAA